AAUUUGGUUGAUCCUGCCAGUAGUCAUAUGCUUGUCUCAGAGAUCAAGCCAUGCAUGUCUAAGUACAUACCUUAAAACGGUGGAACCGCAAAUGGCUCAUUAAAUCAGCUAUGGUUCCUUAGAUCGUAAACGCUGCAUGGAUAACUGUAGUAAUUCUAGAGCUAAUACAUGCCUUGAAUCCCUGACCCGCAAGGGGACGGGUGCAUUUAUUAGAACAGAACCAACCGGGUGCGGCUUCGGCUGUGCCUUUUACAUUAUGUGAUGACUCUGGAUAACUUUACUGAUCGCAGUCGGCCUUGUGUCAGUUUCGAAGACGAUCAGAUACCGUCGUAGUUCUGACCAUAAACGAUGCCAACUGACUGUUAUAACGCGAAUAUAUAGCGCAUUGCGAUAGGACUACACGAAUUCUACCGAUUGACCAAAUUCAGAUAUCCUAGU
rnacentral:ncRNA from 1 species